UGAAGGGCAGAGUCAGCCAAGACACAUCAAUACUCUAAAAAUAGAGAGCAACUUUUAUGGUCCUAUUAAAGUACUAAACAGAGUAUAAUAUUCAUGUCUAGCUACAAAUACAUGGGGCGGGCUAUGUUUAUUUCAUCAUUAUUUGCGAGGACCCAUUACUUUUCCAAAUAACCAAUAUCAUUUUGUUUACGGGGUAAUUUAAUGAUUAGAGAUGUAUUAGAAAUCCUUUUUCACUUUUGGCUAGUGAGAGACGCCAUUUUGAAUACCUUCACAAAGAUAUAAACCCUGGCUUAUCGGGUUAAGAAAUCGUGUAAAUAAUAGACCUAUUCUUUUUUCUAAAUGUAUUAUUUGGUUACAUAAAUAACGAUGUAAAAGCCACUUAAAGAUUACAUCCCCGGGUCCCAAAACAUUAUUUCAGUAAUAAAGGAUACAGAUAUGGUUCCUUUAAAUUACCCAUCAGUGCAAUUGCCUUUUUGUAAAAGUUUCGUAGCCCAUUAAAUGUUCACUUUGUUGCUUUUUAUCGAGGGGAAAAAAAAAGUGUUCUUUUUUUAUUUCUUUGUGCCAGCCUAUAGUAAUUUGAGCAUUAUCUGGUAAUUACUGCUCAUCCCCAUUAAUCUCUUUAAACAAAUUAUACUUCCACUAUCUGAACAGUACUUAAAAGGAAAACGCAGUAAAGAAAGAACACAACCCAUCGCAAGCAAUGUCAAAGAAAGGAUUAUGGUAAUGUUUAGUAAA